rnacentral:rRNA from 1 species
GAGGCAGCAGUAAGGAAUUUUGCACAAUCGACGCAAGUCGGAUGCAGCAACGCCGCGUGGGGGAUGAAGGCUCUCGGGUUGUAAACCCCUUUUUCGAGGGAAGAAGAUAUGACGGUACCUCGAGAAUAAGUCACGGCUAACUUCGUGCCAGCAGCCGCGGUAAUACGUAGGUGGCGAGCGUUGUUCGGAUUCACUGGGCGUAAAGCGCGCGCAGGCGGCCUGAUAAGUCAGAGGUGAAAUCUCCCGGCUCAACUGGGAGGGGCCUUUGAUACUGUCAGCCUUGAGGCGGCUAGAGGAGAGUGG